rnacentral:rRNA from 1 species
AACUUAGUGUUAUUCAUGUUUAAUCGGUUUAAAGGGUACCCUAANCGNUGAAUCAAGCUUUAKAAUAAAGAAGAAAAGGACUAAUUCGUUUAGAGUUACUUACGAGNGGGUAGUAAAGUACUGCUGGUGUAGAGAUGAAAUUCUGUCAUACCUCUUUUCGAAAGAAAAAUUAUGGCACAGGUAUAGGCGAAGGCAUCCCCUUAUGUGAUAACUGACGUUGAGGGACGAAGGCUUCGUGGAACAAACAGGAUUAGAUACCCUAGUAGUUGAAGCAGAAAAUGAUGAAUGUCAUAGAUUAGACGUCUAAGUUUAUUCUAUAAAUGAAAGUGUAAGCAUUCCACCUCAUGAGUAAUUUGGCAACAUUGGAAUUGAAAUCAUUAGACCGUUUCUGAAACCAGUAGUGAAGUAUGUUGUUUAAUUUGAUAAUACGCAAAAAACCUUACCACAAUUUGAAUCUUUAUAUUGUUUAUUGUUAUCUUAUUAAUUUUCUUAAAAAAACUAAUUAUAGCAAAAGCAUUUUAAAACAGGAAAAGAAAAUUAAUCAAGAGGCAAUAACAUAUAUCUACAAGCGUUCCACGGCUGUCUUCAGUUAAUGUCGCGAGGGCUUUAGGUCCCCUCCCCCAAA